rnacentral:rRNA from 1 species
AGGGGUUUGAUUCAGCGCUCAGGAUGAACGCUGGCGGCGUGCCUAACACAUGCAAGUCGAGCGCCCCUUUAUUUGCUAAUUACUUGAAGAGUAAUUGAUAACUAUGGGGAGCGGCGGACGGGUGAGUAACGCGUGAGAAUCUACCCCAAACUGAGGGAUAAGCUCGGGAAACCGAGUCUAAUACCGCAUAUGGCCUUCGGGUUAAAGCUUCGGCGGUUUGGGAAGAGCUUGCGUCCGAUUAGUUUGUUGGUAAGGUAAUGGCUUACCAAGACUAUGAUCGGUAGCUGGUCUGAGAGGAUGAUCAGCCACACUGGAACUGAGACACGGUCCAGACUCCUACGGGAGGCAGCAGUCGGGAAUAUUCCACAAUGGACGAAAGUCUGAUGGAGCAACGCCGCGUGCAGGAUGAAGGCCUUAGGGUUGUAAACUGCUUUUAUAGGUGAAGAUUAUGACGUUAAGCCUAUGAAUAAGGAUCGGCAAACUCCGUGCCCAGCAGCCGCGGGUCAUACGGAGGAUCCAAGUGUUAUCUCGGUAAU